CAUCUGAAUCUGUAUAAAAUACUCUGAACAAUAUAGACAAUUUGCAAUCUCUAAUACAGCAUAUAUCGUGUCUGUGUUAUAAAUUGGCCGACCGGUGUGGGGGUUAAAAUAUCCAACUGUCCAAGGUCCAGCCUAGGCAACAGAACCAGAACCGAACCUAACAGAACUGGUACCAGGAAGCGAGGUACUGAUUGACCAGAUCCAACUCACCCCUUUAUACCUGAGAUGAGGUAUUGGUUAAGCAAUUGGCCGUGAGGAGAAAGACAGGCCCCAUUUACCAAGGUCCAUAUAUGGUGGAAAAGGUCCCUUGAAGAUAAAGACCCCAGAAGCCCCGAUGGCUCCCCUCUUGGAGCGAGGGCUCAAGAACAAGGAGGACGCAAAGCUAGAGACCCUGAUGGCUCCCUCCAUAGAGCAAGGGUCCGGGAAAACCAGCACUUAACUGCCAAUCAGGUGUACAAUAGAACGAUACAAGAAGGGAAAUAUUGUGGACUAUUACUUAUACUGUUUGUGGUGACCGCUUUUGUGGUUUGCUACUUCACCCCAGGUUGAUACAUAAGAUAGGAAAAGGCCAAGACCCAAAAUUAGUCAUAGUAAGGAAAAGAUUCAUACCAUUUAGAUGGCGAACCAAAUUUGGUAUAGUGAGUGAUCCCAAGAAAGUAAACAUUCUUUGGGAUCAGAGGAGGGAUGUAAGGAAUGUGAAAUAAUGGAAUAUUAUAUGUCUGACAUUAUCUACUCCAUUUUAGAUCUAGGAUUCCAUUUUAUAUAACAGGUCUCUGUAGAGACAUUUCAAUAUGUACUUUUUGAUUUUUGCUUUUAUUCUAACAUUUAAGUUUUGCGGUUUUCAUAAAUAGAAUAUGUGCUAGAUGGCUAGUUCCGGAGCAGGCAUUCUGUAUGCAAGUAACGUGUUCUUCUGUCUUUAAAGUUUAACAAUUGUUCCUUAAAAUCCUCUGAAAUCUGUAAGACUGAAACUUGUUAAAAGAGGAACAUCUGAAUCUGUAUAAAAUACUCUGAACAAUAUAGACAAUUUGCAAUCUCUAAUACAGCAUA